rnacentral:rRNA from 1 species
AUUGAACGCUGGCGGCAGGCCUAACACAUGCAAGUCGAACGGUAGCACAGAGAGCUUGCUCUCGGGUGACGAGUGGCGGACGGGUGAGUAAUGUCUGGGAAACUGCCUGAUGGAGGGGGAUAACUACUGGAAACGGUAGCUAAUACCGCAUAACGUCGCAAGACCAAAGAGGGGGACCUUCGGGCCUCUUGCCAUCAGAUGUGCCCAGAUGGGAUUAGCUAGUAGGUGGGGUAACGGCUCACCUAGGCGACGAUCCCUAGCUGGUCUGAGAGGAUGACCAGCCACACUGGAACUGAGACACGGUCCAGACUCCUACGGGAGGCAGCAGUGGGGAAUAUUGCACAAUGGGCGCAAGCCUGAUGCAGCCAUGCCGCGUGUAUGAAGAAGGCCUUCGGGUUGUAAAGUACUUUCAGCGGGGAGGAAGGUGUUGUGGUUAAUAACCGCAGCAAUUGACGUUACCCGCAGAAGAAGCACCGGCUAACUCCGUGCCAGCAGCCGCGGUAAUACGGAGGGUGCAAGCGUUAAUCGGAAUUACUGGGCGUAAAGCGCACGCAGGCGGUCUGUCAAGUCGGAUGUGAAAUCCCCGGGCUCAACCUGGGAACUGCAUUCGAAACUGGCAGGCUAGAGUCUUGUAGAGGGGGGUAGAAUUCCAGGUGUAGCGGUGAAAUGCGUAGAGAUCUGGAGGAAUACCGGUGGCGAAGGCGGCCCCCUGGACAAAGACUGACGCUCAGGUGCGAAAGCGUGGGGAGCAAACAGGACUAGAUACCCUGGUAGUCCACGCCGUAAACGAUGUCGACUUGGAGGUUGUGCCCUUGAGGCGUGGCUUCCGGAGCUAACGCGUUAAGUCGACCGCCUGGGGAGUACGGCCGCAAGGUUAAAACUCAAAUGAAUUGACGGGGGCCCGCACAAGCGGUGGAGCAUGUGGUUUAAUUCGAUGCAACGCGAAGAACCUUACCUACUCUUGACAUCCAGAGAACUUAGCAGAGAUGCUUUGGUGCCUUCGGGAACUCUGAGACAGGUGCUGCAUGGCUGUCGUCAGCUCGUGUUGUGAAAUGUUGGGUUAAGUCCCGCAACGAGCGCAACCCUUAUCCUUUGUUGCCAGCGGUCCGGCCGGGAACUCAAAGGAGACUGCCAGUGAUAAACUGGAGGAAGGUGGGGAUGACGUCAAGUCAUCAUGGCCCUUACGAGUAGGGCUACACACGUGCUACAAUGGCGCAUACAAAGAGAAGCGACCUCGCGAGAGCAAGCGGACCUCAUAAAGUGCGUCGUAGUCCGGAUUGGAGUCUGCAACUCGACUCCAUGAAGUCGGAAUCGCUAGUAAUCGUAGAUCAGAAUGCUACGGUGAAUACGUUCCCGGGCCUUGUACACACCGCCCGUCACACCAUGGGAGUGGGUUGCAAAAGAAGUAGGUAGCUUAACCUUCGGGAGGGCGCUUACCACUUUGUGAUUCAUGACUGGGGUG